GAUGAACGCUGGCGGCGUGCCUAAUACAUGCAAGUCGAGCGAACGGACGAGAAGCUUGCUUCUCUGCUGUUAGCGGCGGACGGGUGAGUAACACGUGGAUAACCUACCUAUAAGACUGGGAUAACUUCGGGAAACCGUAGCUAAUACCGGAUAAUAUUUUGAACCGCAUGGUUCAAAAGUGAAAGACGGUCUUGCUGUCACUUAUAGAUGGAUCCGCGCUGCAUUAGCUAGUUGGUAAGGUAACGGCUUACCAAGGCGACGAUGCAUAGCCGACCUGAGAGGGUGAUCGGCCACACUGGAACUGAGACACGGUCCAGACUCCUACGGGAGGCAGCAGUAGGGAAUCUUCCGCAAUGGGCGAAAGCCUGACGGAGCAACGCCGCGUGAGUGAUGAAGGUCUUCGGAUCGUAAAGCUCUGUUAUUAGGGAAGAACAUAUGUGUAAGUAACUGUGCACAUCUUGACGGUACCUAAUCAGAAAGCCACGGCUAACUACGUG
rnacentral:rRNA from 1 species